GACAGCAUCUGUGAUGAGAUGAUAUAUGAUUUCAUCUGCUCACCAAGCUGCGAUCUGAAGGCGGCCACAUGGCUCUUGCGGUCCAAAGCAAAUCAAGGCUCUGGUCUGCUUCAGGGAAGCAAUGAACAACUUGCAGUUAAGGUGAAGGCGGCUCGAGCCAUCAGGGCCAUCAUAAAAUACACUGGAGAUCCUUGGGAGCUUAAGAAGUGGAUCCUAUCCCUCUACAUCACCUUGAUGUACCAUUUGAUCAACCCAUCCCAUAGAUCACAGGAGAGAUGACCAGCAGGGACUUGAAAACCUACGUGUCUCCAGGCAAAACAAUGGACACCAUUCAAACCCUGAUGAGGAGGCUACACCUAGUACACCUUGUCUUCCAGCACCGCCCAGGGAAGCCCUAUCCCCUGCCUUUCUUCACAGAGCACCGGAGGGGACUCUGGGCCCCAUUGCCACCUUAGACCCUGCUGAGCAAAGAAGACGCCGGAAUAACAGCAGCUUCGUCUUAGGACCUUCUGCUGCAUCUUCGGGAGAAGAAGGACUUUUUCACAACUCCCCACACUUUCAAAGGUUGAGUGGGGUAGGCACCUGUCUGCUUUAAGUUCUCCCUUCCAUUGGGCACUGUGGCAUCACCAAGGGCACCCAUCCCCUUCCCCAGCCAGGGGCUUUAGCCUCUCUUCCCCUUCUGCGCCAAGCCUCCCCUUCCUCCAUCCCCACGCCAGGCCCUGGGUGCCAAGGAGUCUGGGUGCCUAGCCAACCCAACCUCCAAGUUGAAAUGUGGAAAACCUUCCCCUUCCAUCAAGGCUGGCCUGUGAAGAGUGUCAACCAGCUCCCAAAAUGGUCAACCUCUUACGGUUCAAGUGAGGUUCCUACAGAACCCCAAAAGCUGGCACCUGCAAGAAGAGACCAGGGAAGGACACUGAUGGAUUUUACUAUCGUAUUUUGAAAGGUUAUUGUUUUAUUUGUGUUGUUGCAUUACCUUAUAGGUCUAGCUAUUAUUAGUAGUAAUAGUAUUAUUGUAUUGGUAUGGUAAUGUAUUUUGUAAUUAUUAAAGUUAGGAUUAUAUCAUUGCCAGGCUUUUGUUAGUUGUCUCUUUCCUUUUAUUGUUAUUGCUGAAUUGUAUAACUGUUUCCUAUUACUGUACUGAACAAUAAUAAACCCUUAUGUUAAGAGUAUCUUGUACGUUCCCUUUGUUGUGUUUUGUGACAAUGUCGCUUUGCAGCUCCUGUGUAUUGCUUUUUAACGUUUAUAUUUUUAUAUUAUCAUAUUAUAUUAUAUUAUAUGUUCUGCAUACCAGUUGAA